CAGCCGCCGCGGUAAUACGGAGGGAGCUAGCGUUGUUCGGAAUCACUGGGCGUAAAGCGCACGUAGGCGGCUAUUCAAGUCAGGGGUGAAAGCCCGGGGCUCAACCCCGGAACUGCCUUUGAAACUAGAUAGCUUGAAUCUUGGAGAGGCGAGUGGAAUUCCGAGUGUAGAGGUGAAAUUCGUAGAUAUUCGGAAGAACACCAGUGGCGAAGGCGACUACCUGGUCUGGCAUUGACGCUCAUGUGCGAAAGCGUGGGGAGCAAACAGGAUUAGAUACCCCCGUAGUCCCUGUCUCUUAUAC
rnacentral:rRNA from 1 species